UACAGAGGGGGCAAGCGUUGUCCGGAAUCACUGGGCGUAAAGGGCGCGUAGGCGGUCUGUUAAGCGUGUGGUGAAAGCUCGGGGCUCAACCCCGAGUCUGCCAUGCGAACUGGUGGACUUGAGCACUGUAGAGGCAGGUGGAAUUCCGGGUGUAGCGGUGGAAUGCGUAGAGAUCCGGAAGAACACCGGUGGCGAAGGCGGCCUGCUGGGCAGUUGCUGACGCUGAGGCGCGACAGCGUGGGGAGCAAACAGG
rnacentral:rRNA from 1 species